rnacentral:antisense_RNA from 1 species
CUUCACCGAGCCCACGCGCAGCGGCCGUUCGGCCGGCCGGUCCUGCCCGUACGUCUCCAGCAGCGCCUGCGCCUC